GUCUUUUUAGGGCCACACUGCCUGCAGCAUAUGGAGGUUCCCAGGCCGCACAGAUCUGAGCCUCUUCUGCAACCUACACCACGCUCACAGCAACCCAGCUCCUUAACCUACUGAGCGAGGCCAGGGAUCAAACCUGCAUCCUCAUGGAUACUAGUCAGAUUUGUUUCCACUGAGCCACGACAGGAACGCCUAAGAUGAAAGAUUUUAAUGGCAUGUGUACAUAACCGAUUCAAAGCAAAAUGCUACUAAAUAUUCAGGAAGAUCAAAUGUUUUAAAAAACUGCAAAAAGUUAUCCCAAAAUGGAAUAAGGGAGUGAGCAGUAGAACCAUGGAUGAGUCUUCUGUACUUUCCAAAUCCUAAAAUGAGCAGGUCCUGUUUUUACUUUCAAAUGGAAAUGAGUAUAAUUUUAAAGAAUCAUAAUGCCUACAGAGAAAGAGGCUGAGAACAGAUUUACCUUUGUUCUGGCUUACAUGCAAGAAGGCACGCUAAUUAAAAAAAGAAAAAAGAAAAAAGGGGGGGCACGCUAAUAGAAUUCCCUGAAAUGAAAAUAUGUCUUUAAUUGGAAAAGAUCUUUUUUUUUAAUCAAGAAAAGUUCUACUCUAUCCUAUGUUUACCUUAAUCAGGAAGUUAAAGCUUAAAUUUACCUGACCAGCUUUUAUAAACCCCCAUGACAAACCUCUUGGGGUUUCUUAAAGUCUGGUCUUUAGAUUGAGAUUUUGGCUUCUAUAGGCUAGGAGUUUUGUCACUUGUCUUUAAUGCUGGUAUCCAGGCAGUAAACUAAAGCUAUAUAUUUGCAGUUCCUCUCAGGCCCCAACUCACCAUCAACCUACCAGUUCUUUUCAGGACUUUUUUUUUUCCUUUGCUGGAAUGGAUUGUUUCAGAAGCUUUUAUUCAUCUCAACAGAACAUCAAGUUGAAGCUCCAUCUCCUUUGUAUCACCUCAGAGCUACCUUAGCAAGACAAGACUUAAUGGACAUUCAAUGAAUGCCUGACAACGUGCAAAGCUAUUUAAACCACCUGCUGGAAAGAAAAAUUACCUGAGAAAUCAAAAUAUGCCUUAUUGUCCUUGUUAAGACACCAAGCACAUGUAUCAAUGCAGGAGAAUCCUUUCACAAAUAUCACAUCGUCACAUUGUACACUGUAAAUAUAUUUGCUUUAUUUGUCAAUUACAACUCAGUGAACCUGGGGAAAAUUUUUUAAAUAAUUCUUAAAAACACAUUGAGUAUAUGUCACUCUUCUUGCUCUGAAACUUCUCUCAAGCUUAUCACAUAAAUUUCACAGGUAUUUACUCUGACAUACAACAAUUACUCCUGAAUACUGCCCCAUUCUGGCUUCUCAUCGAAGUGUCAGUUUUAUAAAUAAGUUCUUUUGUAUCAAUUUUAUUAGACUCCACAUAAAUUGUAUCGUAUGAUAUUUGCCUUUUUCUGUCUGACUUACUUCACUUAUUGUGAUAAUCUCUAGGUCCAUCCAUGAUGCUUCAAAUGACAUUAUCUUGUUCUUUUUUAUGGCUAAGUAAUAUUCCAUUGUAUAUGUGUACCACAUCUUAUUUUGAAACCAAACUUAUGGUUACCAAAGGGGGGGGGAUAAAUUAAGCAUUUGGGAUUAACAUAAACACACUACUAUAUUUAAAAUAGAUAAGUAACAAAGACCUACUAUAUAGCACAGGGAAACAUACUCGAUAGUCCAUAAUAACCUAUGUGGGAAAAGAAUCUGAGAAAGAAUGGAUAUAUGUAUAACUGAUUCAGUUUGCUGUAUACCUGAAUCUAACACAACACUGUAAGUCUACUACACUCCAAAAAUUUAGUUAAAAAUAAAAAAAAAAGCUUCAAACUCAGAUUUUCAACUACCAUCUAAAAAUAAAUCUCUGCCUCUUUCAUUUAAAACCAUCUAAAACCAGUGGCAUCUAAAACCAGUCUGCCUCACUGGAACAAUCCUUAUACUCUCAUGUCCCUUUCUGUAUUAAUGACAUCAACAGGCCCUUUUUUCUGUCCCCGACAGCUCCCUGCACCGUUCUGCUGGCUCUUUAAGACUGACCCAAAGCAAACCACUACUGGGCCACAAAUUGUAAUUCAUCACUCACACAAAGCUCUCGGGUCUGUCUAUGACUCUUCUGUGUGGAACAAGCUUCUUUGCUGCAAAUCUUUACUCCAAGGCAGAGUUACUCUCUCCAUCCUCAGAUAUUCAGAUGGCACUUUGUUUACGUCUCAGUUUCCAGCACCUAUCACUGGCUGCCUCAUCUCAGGCAUCUGGAUCCAUGGCUCUCCAGGUUUAUGAGCCACUUGAGAGCGGGGACCAUACUUUCUCAGUGCUUGUUUUUCUUUCUUUAAUUUUUCAUUGUAGUGUCCUCAGCUGAGCACAGGGAAUGAGUCACCAAAGUGCUCAGAGAUUUUAGCUCCGUGAAAGUGAACUGACAGGGUCUCAGAAGAAGUGAGGAGAUCACAGAUCUGACUGAAUUUGCAAAAGUCAGGUCCUCCUGCCCUAGCCUUUGAACCUUGGGAUCUCUGUGUCUACUCAGAAAGUAAAGCCAGCAGUUCUCUGCAGAACUACAACCAACACUGGGUACAGAAUGAAUGCCUCCUUUUCUUAACAUGACAAUAAUCUCUGUCCCCACAAAUCAGAAUCCAACAUGGCAAAGCAGCCCCUUAACAAAAGGCAACUCUGUUUCAGCUGUGUUGCUCCGGCCCUAAGAACCCUCCAUCCUUAUCAUCUGCUGAUUGGCCAGUUCUAGCGGGGUCCUGGUUUCAUACUCCCACAGGGAAACCUGCUGAUAAGGAGUAACUCUCCCCUCCUCCAACAUCUGCUCUGCCCCUGAAGUCAUUCAUCCACCUUCCACAGCUGCCUUGCUUUCCGCCUAACAAAAGGUUCGCAGAUGCUGAACACGUGCUCGUAAACUCGCGUCUUCUCUCUGCCUGAGACCCGGAUGAGGCAGAAUCCUGGUGGAAGUAACAUUGUGGGCAAGGAUAUUUGCUGCUGUGGUUGUCACGCAGCUGGAAACAGUUUUCUUGGUUCCCAUUCCUAAGAGUCAGACCUUCCUAUCUCCGGGACAAGAACUCUGAACCAAGUAUUAUCACACGGUCCUGAUUCAGGAAGACCCAUGGGGGCUCUUGGGACUUCAAACAUCUGGCCCGUGGCGACGGGCUCCACCACAGCCUCUCUAAAAACAACAGAGGCAGGAGGGAGCGCGUGCUUGGACAGACACAAACCCCACAUGCUUCAAUAUAUAUGAACACAAACAUUUUCGUAGGUUGGUCUAAGGGAAAGUACAUGUAUGAAAGGCUAUGUAACAAACUGAUGACAGAGGGCUUGGUUACAUCAGAUGGGUAAGCUUGAAAGCGCAGAGGUAAGUUCCCGUCGUGGCUCAGUGGUUAACGAAUCCGACUAGGAACCAUGAGGUUGCAGGUUCAAUCCCUGGCCUCACUCAGUGGGUUAAGGACCCAGUGUUGCUGUGAGUGGAGUGUGGGUCGUAGACGCAGCUUGGAUCCUGAGUUGCUGUGGCUGUGGCGUAGGCUGGCAGCUACAGCUCCGAUUCGACCCCUAGCCUGGGAACCUCCAUAUGCUGCAGGUGCAGCCCUAAAAAGACAAAAAAAAAAAAAGAAACACUCUCUAAAGUGUUCAUGCCCCUGAGUGACUUAAACAGAGUAAGUAAACUGCAUGAGCAAAGCAGAUACACGGUGGUAGCAUGACCUCAAAAGAGGCCUGACUUCCCUCCCUCAGGCUACAUCUGAAUUAUUCUAGGAAGCAAGUCAUAUACUGAAUGCAGAAAUUCAAACACAAGUUGGGUCCAAAUUAAGCCUAUCCAAAACGAGAGGGAAGCCAGCCAGGGCUACAGAGAAGACACCGUUAUGUCUGUCCCUAGACUUGGCAACUAAGAGGUAAAUCAGGGCCAAGAAAUUCCCAGUUUAUAAAAUGAAAAUGAGACUACCAGGCUCUGUCUCCUUCUCAUCUUGUUAAGAAAAGCUAACUGACCUGAAAACAUGAGGUCACGUUGGAAGAAAACCUUCCUAACGUUGAAGACGAACUCCCUCAACAAACAUGCUCCAUAUCCAAAGAUGUUCCCAAGAACUUGGGUCGCUAACAUAGAGUGAUAGAACCUUGCAAGAAGGGACCAUCUGUGUCUUGUUUCCUAUAGUUCCCCAGUACAUGGUAGGUGGGCAACAAAUAUCUACUGCCUAUGGAAAAAAUGAACAAAUUAAAGAUUAAGGAACACAGCGUCAAAAUCUAGCAUUAGCAACCAGAUUCUAUCAGUGCUUAUUCCUAUCUUACAGACAUAAAAAGAAUGCAACUUUGACUCAUUCAGCAAUAAUAUGGGAAUUAAAAAGCCUCCUGAUUCCUUCUAUCUUGGUCCCUUUUUUCUCUUCUAGGUCUCUCGCUUUAUCUCCUAGUUUCCUUCCAGAUCCUAAUCCUCUUUCUCCCACUCCCAUCCCCACCCAACCCCCCUGAGAGUCAAGUGCUCCUGCUGGGUGCUCCCAUAGUGCUUCUUCUCUCACUCAUCACACGUGUUGUGCUGAAUGGCAAUCAUCUGUUAAUGUGUCUGUAAACCCAGCUUCUCCUGGAGGGUAGGAAUCCUGCAUUAGUUACCCCCACUCCCUGCCUCUAUCUAGUACCUAGUGCAAUGCUUGGUUGAUAGCAACAGGCAAUUCGGUGCUGUGUGGGUAGAAAAGAACAAGUUUCCCCUGCCCCUGAAUCAUUUGUCCUUUCAAAGAACCAGGAAUAUCUCUCCAUUAGGGCGGCUUUCAGCAAGAAGGCAGCUUAGGGAUGGGUCAAGGAGAACCACUGAAACAGAGAAAGCAAACUCCGUAUGGCAGACUUACAUGACCUCAAAUCUAGUCCACUGUUUUGAUAUUUAAGAAAAUGGGAAAAGGAAAACUUGCUAAAAGGCAAUGGUUCACAAUCGCACCCUCUGUACAAUGAAUCCUAAACCUUCAGAAGCAGAGGCACACAUGUUGGCCAUGAGGAACCGACUUUUCUUUAACAAGCAUUUCAGCCUUGGCGACCCCACCCCAAAGAGAUCCACCACCAGGUUUUAUUAGUCGAACGUUCUUUUAGAGAAAGAAGCUGGCUUUGAAAUCAUCUUCCUUUACCUCCACAUUAAAUAAAACAAACAGAGCCUGAGCUACCUCAGUCAGGCUUACACGUGUUUAUUUUAGCACUGGACCAGAGUUAAGAGUCUGCCUGUCAUUACAUCACUUUUUAAAAACAGUCCCACAAAAAUAAAGUGCAGCCUAAAUCCAUGCAUGUACUAAGACAGUCCUCUUAUUUCCGAAAGAAUUUUGAAUUUUCUAUCAACUUCAAAGUUUCUCCAGCACUGAUCAGAUGUCAGGAGCCAAAAUCCAACCACUGUCUUUGCCCCACCCCUAUGAGUCAUUAAUAAUAAUAAUAAUAAUAAUAAUAAUAAACAUAACUUAGAAAUCAUACUAACCUGCUGGGGGUGGGGGGGGCAGGGCUGAAAUUUAAAUAAAAUCACCACUGCCACACCUCCCUUACCUACUCACCCGCCCCACCAAAAUCCAAAAAACUGAGUUCUUUCAACUUAACAAAUUUCAUUAAUUGAUUAAACAUGCCAAACCCAAGUUCCCUUGCAGGAGAUAAAGCUGCUGGGAGUUCAAAUUGUAUGCAGAAGAUAGGAAAAAGCAGCUGACCUAACCUCCUUUCAUCAUCUGUCUCCUUGGUAGCACCUCCAGAUUCGAGGACAAUUAGAAGACUUACUCAGAUCAGCUCCACUUAGCAGCGGAAAAGCCACCCACCCCCACCUGUGACCACUGGGGUGUGAGAGGAAACCUCCAGAA
rnacentral:lncRNA from 1 species